CGGAACACGUACACAACCUUCCUUUAAGCGGGGGAUAGCCCAGAGAAAUUUGGAUUAAUACCCCAUAGAAUGAUGAUGAGGCAUCUUAUUAUCAUUAAAGAUUUAUCACUUGAAGAUGGGUGUGCGUCUGAUUAGGUAGUUGGCGGGGUAACGGCCCACCAAGCCAUCGAUCAGUAACUGGUGUGAGAGCACGACCAGUCACACGGGCACUGAGACACGGGCCCG
rnacentral:rRNA from 1 species